CGUACACUCCUACGGGAGGCAGCAGUGGGGAAUAUUGCACAAUGGGCGCAAGCCUGAUGCAGCCAUGCCGCGUGUAUGAAGAAGGCCUUCGGGUUGUAAAGUACUUUCAGCGGGGAGGAAGGCGAUAAGGUUAAUAACCUUGUCGAUUGACGUUACCCGCAGAAGAAGCACCGGCUAACUCCGUGCCAGCAGCCGCGGUAAUACGGAGGGUGCAAGCGUUAAUCGGAAUUACUGGGCGUAAAGCGCACGCAGGCGGUCUGUCAAGUCGGAUGUGAAAUCCCCAGGCUCAACCUGGGAACUGCAUUCGAAACUGGCAGGCUAGAGUCUUGUAGAGGGGGGUAGAAUUCCAGGUGUAGCGGUGAAAUGCGUAGAGAUCUGGAGGAAUACCGGUGGCGAAGGCGGCCCCCUGGACAAAGACUGACGCUCAGGUGCGAAAGCGUGGGGAGCAAACAGGAUUAGAAACCCGUGUAGUCCC
rnacentral:rRNA from 1 species